CUUAAUCUCUUAUUCUUAAGAAUAUUUGACAUCCAAGUCUUCAUCUAUGUACUUAUACACACACAUGACAAAUUAGACUUCUAGACCAUGCUUUGCAUUCUUGUAGGACAUACAUCUAUACCAAAGGAUAUUGAUGCUAUUGCCUUGCAAUAUAAGCUAUUAUUUAUUUUCAAAUUGAAAUAGCUCUCCAAAUUUGAUUUUAUAAAAUUGAUUGCAAUUUGAAUAAAUAAGAUCUACACUCCUCCUCUUCAAACAAUAAUGUGUAAUUUCUACAAUAGCAAAAUUGUCCUUGUUAUUCUCUAUGUUGAUGAUCUCUUCAUCACUCAUGACCAUCAUUGCAAAAUUACAUGGUUGAGAACUAUACUUCAAGAAACAUUUGACAUGAUAGACUUAUGGUAACGUAGUUGCUACUUUGGCAUUGAAUUUGACCAAUUAUUGGCUAGCCUUUUGUCUUCACCAAACAACCUACACUCUCAAUAUUCUUGAUCUCUUUGGUAUGAUCAACUAUAAUUUGUUCAUGUCUCCACUCCUUAAUUAUUAAUUCUACUCACUACUCUUAAGUUGUAAGAAAACAU
rnacentral:lncRNA from 1 species